rnacentral:rRNA from 1 species
CUUGUAGAGGGGGGUAGAAUUCCAGGUGUAGCGGUGAAAUGCGUAGAGAUCUGGAGGAAUACCGGUGGCGAAGGCGGCCCCCUGGACAAAGACUGACGCUCAGGUGCGAAAGAGUGGGGAGCAAACAGGAUUAGAUACCCUGGUAGUCCACGCCGUAAACGAUGUCUACUUGGAGGUUGUGCCCUUUAGGCGUGGCUUCCGUAGCUAACGCGUUAAGUAGACCGCCUCGGGAGUAAUGCCGCAAGUUUAAAAAACAAAAGAAUAGACGAGCGCCCUCAAAAGCGGUGGAGCAAGUGGUUUAAUUCGAUGCAAAGCUAAUAACCUUACCUGGACUUGACAUCCACGGAAUUUUUAAGAGAUGAGAAUGUGCCAUCGGGAACCGUGAGACAGGUGCAGCAUGGCUGUCGUCAGCUCGUGUUGUGAAAAGUUGGGUUAAGUCCCGCAACGA